UACGUAGGGGGCAAGCGUUGUCCGGAAUCAUUGGGCGUAAAGCGCGUGUAGGCGGCCCGAUAAGUCCGCUGUGAAAGUCCAGGGCUCAACCCUGGGAUGCCGGUGGAUACUGUCGGGCUCGAGUCCGGAAGAGGAGUGUGGAAUUCCUGGUGUAGCAGUGAAAUGCGUAGAUAUCAAGUGGAACACCAGUGGCGAAGGCGAGUCUCUGGACAUUUCCUGACGCUGAGGCACGAAAGCCAGGGGAGCAAACGGG
rnacentral:rRNA from 1 species